rnacentral:lncRNA from 1 species
CUAUUGUCUCUGAUGCAAACAUCAUAAUGGAGUCAUUACCAAGGAAACACAGUCAUGUUAAGUUGCUGUCUGUCAUUUCAGGUUUGAGGUUAGUCAACUACAUUCCUCUUGUGCCUGGAGUUAAUAUGAUGCUUAGAGGGUGAUGCAAAUGGUGGAGAGAGGUUUAUUUCAUGACUUGGGUUUGUCUUGGUGGCCUGCCAUUGUCCAUUCAUUGAAGGAUCUGGCUUAUCUCUACCAUAAUGGCAUUUGAACAGCAUUCUAGGUGAACCCUACCGGACAAGCCACUUUGUAGUCUCUGCAUUAGUGCUUCUACCAUAAUUCUUCUAUAAUCCACCAAUACUGUCUUUGGGCUGAUGGCUGCACCCACUCUAAGUGACCACAACAGCCUUUGGGCGUACCCCUGCUGAUUCCAGGGCCAAAAGAAUCUCCUAGGUUGUCCCCAGUCCUCUCCCUUUAUACUCUGAGAUGGCCACACCAUCUGCUGGCACAGUCAGCUGCUUUCCAAAGACUUCCCUUGAGAAUUGAGGCUCAGGUUCUCCUAACUUUGAAUCCAACAACUUAAACGGAGGGCUGAAGGAAUUUUGGGGUCCCCGCGGAGGCUGAGGUUGAAGGAGGAAGGGGUUGGAACAUAGUCUCCGCACUUCUCUCCUUAGUGGGUAACUCUCAUGGCUUGUCUCUGUUCUGUGUCUACUAUCUUUUCCUUCCUAGCCACAGCAUUCUCUCUCUAGACUGAUGUGGGGGUGAAGAAUCAGGAUGACAACAUCUACUUCCUAAUUCUUCGGCCUUAUUCAUGGAUCUGAAAUGUUUGAGCUCACUCGUUCAGCUGUUCCUUUUGAAAUUCUUCCUUAGAGCAAAGUGGCCUCUGGGUUCCCAGCCUGUCAAGUUUACCCAUUGCUAUCGAGUGGGAGAAAAUGCCUGAGGAACACUCUCUGCUUGGGUACUCACACGGGGAGAAAAAAAAUCAGAUGGAAAAAUAAAUGGAGGAAAUGGACUGGUUUCUUGUACUUCUUCCAACCUCUUAGCAGAUGUGUUGAGCACCUGACUGACUCAGCCCAAUUCUGUCCAUGCACAGGACACGUGUGCCCCAACUGGGCACUGGGAAAGGACAUUCCCUUUCUUCCUUUGUCCUUUCCUGGCCAUGCAAAGUAGAAGAAAAUGGAUGUAUGAGAUGGCCUGACCAUAUCACUGCUAUGUCCUAAGAUCAAGUUGAGUUGCUUUAGUUUAAAAAGCCAUGAAUAAACAGGGCUCACAUGUUUAUCCUUCCCCCUUA